rnacentral:sRNA from 1 species
AGUUCUCUCAAGCUGCCAAAGUCGCAGAACUUGAAAAGCGCCUGACAGAGCUGGAGACAGCUGUACGUUGUGAUCAGGAUGCUCAGGUCAGGUGUUCUCCUGUACAUAAUCUGAGCCUUAGAUCCUGCAACUCUAGGCCUUAAGGUCUACAACAUUCCACAUAAGCCUGGGAGGAGUCAUCAAAGGGCUUCAGUUACAGGGAUCAGCUAGUGGGUUCCCAGCUAGAACCAGGAAAGAUGGGAGAUGAUAAUCAUGGAGAUAUAAGGACCACUCACUUCUUCCCUCCCUUUCCCACCAGAAUCCCCUUUCUGCAGGUCUACAGGGAGCCUGUCUCAUGGAGACUGUAGAGCUGUUGCAAGCAAAGGUGAGCGCCCUAGACCUUGCAGUUUUGGAUCAAGUGGAGGCUCGGCUACAGAGUGUCCUGGGAAAGGUGAACGAGAUUGCCAAGCAUAAAGCCUCUGUAGAAGAUGCAGAUACACAAAGCAAGGUCAGGAAGACACCUUUCCCAUCUCCUUUCCACUCCCUCAGGUUCUCCGAGUGGCAGUGUCAAAGCAUGAGAACACACUGACUCCUCAGGUCCCCAUCUUCAUAAGCUCUUAUGAAGAGCUUAUCAGCUUGGAAAGUCAGGGCACUGCUUCCCUCUGCCCACUUGAUCCUUUCCCCCAUUAUGGUGAAGUAGCAGUCUGUGCAUACUGACCUGGCUGCCUCAGCCAUCCCCUCUGGGCCCUAUUGUGUCCCUUCAGGUGCACCAGCUAUAUGAAACUAUACAGCGCUGGAGCCCCAUUGCCUCCA